rnacentral:tRNA from 1 species
GGUCUCAUGGUGUAAUGGUCAGCACCUUGGACUUUGAUUCCAGAGAUCCGAGUUCAAAUCUCGGUGAGACCU